AUUGAACGCUGGCGGCAGGCCUAACACAUGCAAGUCGAACGAGUGGCGGACGGGUGAGUAAUGUCUGGGAAACUGCCUGAUGGAGGGGGAUAACUACUGGAAACGGUAGCUAAUACCGCAUACCAUCGGAUGUGCCCAGAUGGGAUUAGCUAGUAGGGGGGGUAAAGGCUCACCUAGGCGACGAUCCCUAGCUGGUCGGAGAGGAUGACCAGCCAAACUGGGACUGAGACAAGGUCCAGACGCCUACGGGAGGCAGCAGGGGGGAAUAUUGGACAAUGGGCGCAAGCCUGAUGCAGCCAUGCCGCGUGUAUGAAGAAGGCCUUCUGGUUGUAAAGUACUUUCAGCAGGGAGGCGUUACCUGCAGAAGAAGCACCGGCUAACUCCGUGCCAGCAGCCGCGGUAAUUC
rnacentral:rRNA from 1 species